UCCUCCACAUUUCAGUCUGUUUCUCUAAUCAUCUUAUCUUAUUGUUUCUAGUUUAUAAGAUAAAGAGCCAAGCCUUGAUCCUUCUAGUUUCUCAUUCUUUUCGCUAAAUAUGAUAUCUUCGAAAGCUGUAUUUGAACGGUAUCUCCGUUAGGAAGUGAGAUAGUGUUUGUUAAAUACGAAUAAUAAAACGAGAAAAAUAGUCGAGAGCUUAUGACACCGACAUGAGUUUAGCUAUCAUAGUUGAAUGAAUCAAUAAUAUUAUGAUGGACAAGUAUAAUCCAGUUUCAUGGUGAGUGGAUCAUCAAUAAUUAUACUUUAUUAUUUAUAUCAGGUUCUGAGAGAUAAGCGGACGGGGAAGACCAAGGGAUAUGGAUGCGUUAGUUUUGCUAACCCAACCAAUCUGGCUUCUACUCUCAAAGAAAUGAAUGGAAAAUAUGUUGGAGACUGUCCAAUAAAACUGCGUAAGAGCAACUGGAAACAAAGAACAGAUUUUGAGGCUUUGCAAAAGUAGAAGCAACAGGAUCAGAAGAAGGCGAGCCUGCCAAAGAAGAGUGUCCUUCAUAAGUGAGCAACAUUGUAUCAUGUUCAAUAAGGAGGAAUUAAAGUCAACCGAACAUUUCAAUUCAUUAAUAUCUGUUUAUUGUAGACACGGGUAUAACAGCAAAGCAACUGGGUUGUAUAGAGAGAUGGAGGAGGUGGUGGUGAUGGUGGGUUGAAGGUGAUGGUGGAGGAGGUAGUGGUGAUGGUAGAGGUGGUGGUGGGUUAGAGAGAGAUAUGAGGGAGAAGAAGAUGAAGGGUGGGCUCAUCUCUUUUUGUUUUUUAAUACCAAUGGCAUUUUAGUAAUUUCACAUCUACUUAAAAACGUCAGGGACUAUCCAGGAACGAAAUUGUAAAAGUUGGGGACUAUGAAUUUUAGAAAG